UACGUAGGGGGCAAGCGUUAUCCGGAUUUACUGGGUGUAAAGGGAGCGUAGACGGCCUUGCAAGUCUGGUGUGAAAGCCCGGGGCUCAACCCCGGGACUGCAUUGGAAACUGCAUGGCUGGAGUGCAGGAGAGGUAAGCGGAAUUCCUGGUGUAGCGGUGAAAUGCGUAGAUAUUAGGAGGAACACCAGUGGCGAAGGCGGCUUACUGGACUGUAACUGACGUUGAGGCUCGAAAGCGUGGGGAGCAAACAGG
rnacentral:rRNA from 1 species